CUAGAGUUCUAUGAAAUCUGGAGCCCUGUAAAAGGUUAGUAUUCUCUUGAACUUUUUUUUUUUUAGCAUUUGCUUAUAAAAAUGAACCGGAAUAUACAUUUUUAUAUAUAUAUAUAUAUAUAUAUAUAUAUCUAUCUUACCUAUAAAAUAUGAAGAAAUAUAGACUUUGUGCACACUUAAACAAAAGACAGAUUGAUUAUUCAGAUAUUUUUUACAAUACAUCUGCUAUUCUGCUUAUUGCUUCAUUAUACUUCAUUCUAACUAAUGAUUAUCCCCUUAGAAUCAGUGAAACUAAACAUCCUGACGGUACCAAGAUGCAUUUGUAAUAAAAUAGAAAUAUCAAACAGCCAAAUAUAUAUGAAGAAAAGAGAAUCCAUAUCGAUUGACAGGUCUGAGAAAUUGUGUGCAUAUGCACUUGGGAAUGAAGGAUUUACAUCAGGAAAGCACUUCUGGGUGGUGGAAAUGCUUGAUGACUGGAACGGAUGCAUUGUGGGUGUAGCAGAAUCCUCUGUGCAGAAAAAUGAUUUGAUUAUUCCCAAUCAAAAAAAUGGGAUUUAUUCUGUGUGGAUUUGGAAAACAGACAUCAAAGAGAAGGACUUAGAAGAAAAUAGGAAGAAAACAGACACCAAAGAGAAGGACUCAGUACCCAAGACUUUAAAGCUUAGAGUAUGUUUAGAUUAUGAAGGUAAAACAAUAUCUGUGUUUAAUUAUGAUGCUAAAGGAUGUAUUCACAAAAGACACUUUCGUACUGGCUUCAAAAAUAAAAUGUUCCCAUUUUUCCGUAUCACCCCUGGAGCUAAAAUUGAACUUUGAUAUUUCAGCCUUUU